CUCCUUGAGGACACAGCAGAGCAGUGCAGCAUGUCCUGGGCUGAUGCCUGCAGAGUCUUUUGUAAGGCAGGGCAGUUGGGACACUGUGAAGAACUACUUUAGAGCAAUGACGGAGAUAACAAUUUCAUGCUAAGUUAAUCACUGUUGUCCCCCUCCCUUAAAAACAGAUAUGUGGUUGCAGUAGGAUUGGAAUGUGGAAAGAUUUGCUUAUAUACCUGGAAAAAGACUGAUCAAGUUCCAGAAAUAAAUGACUGGACCCACUGUGUAGAAACAAGUCAAAGCCAAAGUCAUACACUGGCUAUCAGAAAAUUAUGCUGGAAGAAUUGCAGUGGAAAAACUGAACAGAAGGAAGCAGAAGGUGCUGAGUGGUUACACUUUGCAAGCUGUGGUGAAGAUCACACUGUGAAGAUACA
rnacentral:sRNA from 1 species